rnacentral:tRNA from 1 species
GCCUUCGUGGUGUAAGGGUAGCUCAUUCGGCGCGUAUUCGAGAGGUCUAGGUUCGAGUCCUGGCGAGUGCA